AUUGCAUAUUAAUAGCUAAAGAUUUUUUUGUUAGUUUUAUUUUUUUAUUUACACCGACUUGCUUCCAAAAUCAGGCUUUCUUAAUUUUGUUUAAUAAAAGAUUUUUUUUAUCACAGUUGGCAAAAAAUAAUUAAACAAGAGAAGAACCCUUCCUUUUAUUGAAUCUUAAAUUUACAUCUUAAUGAUUACAUGUUCUUUUGUUAGUUUUUAAUUAUUUAUUGACUCGGAUUGGCUUCUUUUUUUUCAAGAUUAGAAUUUUUUAAUUAAUUUUAUCAACUUUAUGCCACAAAUUUUCAAAAUGUAAAAUUUUACACUAACUUAGAUUCACUAAAUUGCCUUUUUAUACAAAUCACAUUGAAUAAAACAU
rnacentral:lncRNA from 1 species